AUGAAGUUUCCUGUUCACCUUUUGGUGUUGCUGUUGUGGAUUCCUGCUUCCAGAGGUGAUGUUGUUGUGGUGACACAAACUCCAAGCUCCCUGCCUGUCAGUCUUGGUGAUGAAGCCUCUAUCUCUUGCAAGUCAAGUAAGAGCCUUGUACACAAUAAUGGAAUCACCUAUUUAGCAUGGUUCCUGCAGAAGCCAGGCCAGCUACCUCAGAGCCUCAUCCAUACAGUAUCCAACCGAUUUUCUGGGGUCCCAGACAGGUUCAGUGGCAGUGGGUCAGUGUCAGACUUCACACUCAAGAUCAGCAGAGUAGAGCCUGAGGAUUUGGGAGUUUAUUACUGCUUACAGUAUGUACAUUAUCCUCUCACAGUGAUUUAUACCGUAACAAAAAUGUCGUUGCUUAGAGUGGCCCAGCUGCUAAUAUGUUACUCAACAAUGUCAAAGUGA